rnacentral:pre_miRNA from 1 species
UCUUCAUUUCACGUCCUCUCUCGCCGGUCAGAGAGGCGAGAGUAUGCGAAAUGAAGAGA